rnacentral:rRNA from 1 species
GACGAACGCUGGCGGCGUGCUUAACACAUGCAAGUCGAACGGAAAGGCCCUGCUUUUGUGGGGUGCUCGAGUGGCGAACGGGUGAGUAACACGUGAGUAACCUGCCCUUUACUUUGUGAUAACUUCAGGAAACUGGGGCUAAUACCGGAUAGGAGCUCCUGCUGCAUGGUGGGGUUUGGAAAGUUUCGGCGGUUGGGGAUGGACUCGCGGCUUAUCAGCUUGUUGGUGGGGUAGUGGCUUACCAAGGCUUUGAAGGGUAGCCGGCCUGAGAGGGUGACCGGCCACAAUGGGACUGAGGUAGGGAGCAGAGUGCAACGGGAGGCAGCAGUGGGGAAUAUUGCACAAUGGGCGGAAGCCUGAUGCAGAAACGCCGCGAGCGGGAUGACGGCCUUGGGGUUGUAAACCGCUUUAGGCUGUGACGAAGCGUGAGUGACGGUAAUGGGUAAAGAAGCACCGGCUAACUACGUG